UGCAGAGGAAGAAUUCUGCGGAUUUGACUUUAUUUGACUAGUUAUAAAAGGUGCCUCAAAUCCAGAACUCCUUCAGCUGCUGUCAUAAAUACUGUGAUCAUCUGUUUGUGUCAAUCCACCCGAUUUUCAUCAAGGAAAUGGCUAAGCUUGUGCUUUUGUUGGCCGCGGUGAUGCUGCUCGCGUUGGUGGCUGCCCAGGACGAUGAUGACCUGGCGGUCGCUGAGCGGGCAGAGCAGGUGAACGAAGCGCUGGAUUCUGAUGAGGCGCUGGUUAGGGAGGUGCGCCGAAUCCCCCGACGCACCAGGAGACCAAUUGCGACACCAACCCCUCGCUGGACAGUUUGGGUCUAAUGGAAUAUUUAUUAAUUAUUUUUGACUGAUUGGCAUAAUUUUUUUAAUAGUAUGAAAAUCGUUUUAAUGUGCCAAACAUUCGUUUAAAAAUACUUGCAAAUUUUGUGAUCUCAAAUUAAUUUUAGUGAAAACAAUAUUUAAAUAAAAAAUUGGAUUUGGUAAAAAA